rnacentral:tRNA from 1 species
GGGUAUAACUCAGUGGCAGAGCACAUGCUUAGCAUGCAUAAGGUCCUGAGUUCAAUCCCCAGUACAUCCA